rnacentral:rRNA from 1 species
UACGAAGGGGGGCUAGCGUUGCUCGGAAUCACUGGGCGUAAAGGGUGCGUAGGCGGGUUUUUAAGUCAGAGGUGAAAUCCUGGAGCUCAACUCCAGAACUGCCUUUGAUACUGAGAAUCUUGAGUAUGGGAGAGGUGAGUGGAACUGCGAGUGUAGAGGUGAAAUUCGUAGAUAUUCGCAAGAACACCAGUGGCGAAGGCGGCUCACUGGCCCAUAACUGACGCUGAGGAGCGAAAAGCGUGGGGAGCGAACAGG